rnacentral:rRNA from 1 species
AUGGACGACGUUCACUGGUACCUAUGUGUUAUAAAUGCCAUAAAACUAUGCUUUCAAGUUCUCGACUCGCUAGGCCCAUUAAUGAACCGCAAGGACCUCACUAAUACGCUAGAAGGACUGGAUGAUUUAUUCAAAUGUGCAUCCGAGCACAUGGAAUUAAAAUUCGAUAAGUGGACUGAUCUAAAUGUUACAACAUAG